AUGAAUGCGACAGCUCUCAGUAGGGAUUUCCAGGAGGAGAAGCGUUUGAAGUGCUCUGAGAGACUUGAGCCCAUCAUCCACAUAGAAAUCUCUCUCCACAAACUGUUGAGUGUCUACUACGUGGUAUUGCUCACCUUCUUGAGUGGCUCGACUGAGCCUGUAGAUGGCGACGGCCGGAGAUUAAUAGGGAUUGUAUCACUGUGGUGCACUUUUGGUAGUGGCACCAGACUUGAUGUUGGAAGUAACAGUGCCCCCACCCUCACCGUCCUGCCCCCCUCUAGUGAGGAGCUGUCCAGUACAGCAACAGCCACACUAACGUGUCUGGCCAACAAGGGCUUCCCCUCAGACUGGACCAUGAACUGGAAAGUGGACGGGACUAGCAAGAUCCAGGAGGCCAGUCCCAGGGUCCUGGAGAAGGACGGUUUGUACAGCUGGAGCAGCACCCUGAAUCUCACUGCCCAGGAGUGGACCAAGGCAGGAGAGGUGACCUGUGAGGCCCACCAGAUCUCCCAGCCUACAGUCACCAAGACCCUGAGGAGGUCUGACUGUUCUGGGUAG